CGGCAACAGCUCAAAUUUGAAAUCUGGCGCUUUCAGCGUCCGAGUUGUAAUUUGUAGAGGAUGUUUCGGCCACGACCCCGGGUUAAAUUUCUUGGAACAGAAUGUCAGAGAGGGUGAGAACCCCGUCCUGACUCGGGCGUACGAGCCGUGUGAAACUCCUUCGACGAGUCGAGUUGUUUGGGAAUGCAGCUCAAAAUGGGUGGUAAAUUUCAUCUAAAGCUAAAUAUUGGCCAGAGACCGAUAGCGCACAAGUAGAGUGAUCGAAAGAUGAAAAGCACUUUGAAAAGAGAGUUAAACAGUAUGUGAAAUUGUUGAAAGGGAAGCGCUUACAACCAGACUUGAGCGCGGCGGUUCCCCCUGGCUUCUGCCUGGGCUAUUCCGUCGUGUCCAGGCCAACAUCGGUUCUGAGGGUCGGUUAAAGGCUCCAGGAAUGUAUCUACCCCUCGGGGUCGACUUAUAGCCUGGGGUGUCAUGCGACCUCCCGGGACCGAGGAACGCGCUUCGGCUCGGAUGUUGGCGUAAUGGUUGUCAGCGACCCGUCUUGAAACACGGACCAAGGAGUCUAACAUCUAUGCGAGUGUUAGGGUGUCAAACCCUUGCGCGGAAUGAAAGUGAACGGAGGUAGGAAGCCUUUAGGCCGCACUAUCGACCGAUCCUGAAGUUUACGGAUGGAUUUGAGUAAGAGCAUAGCUGUUGGGACCCGAAAGAUGGUGAACUAUGCGUGAAUAGGGUGAAGCCAGAGGAAACUCUGGUGGAGGCUCGCAGCGGUUCUGACGUGCAAAUCGAUCGUCAAAUUUGCGUAUAGGGCGAAAGACUAAUCGA
rnacentral:rRNA from 1 species